CUGCUGGGAAGGGGAAGGAGGACGUAGGCAGAACUGCAUGCUGGCUGGCUGGAUCAGGCUGUUACAGAGAGACACGAGGAUGGUGCUGCUAGGAAGGACAAGCCCCUCUUGGGAUGUAAACGCUGUGAACUCUCUCUCUCUCCAUAAAACCCAGGUAAUACACUCCCUGUGCUAUCAACAACUCAUGGUUUUGACAUCCCUUUGGUUACACUCCAAGAUUUUACCUCAAGUGCCCAUCAUCCCGAAGCACGUUUGCUUGCUGAGAAAUGGUCUGAUGCCGAAUUGAAGGCUAGGAGCAAAACGCACAUCUGUGUCCACAGACUGAUAGGGAAGGAUGCGAUAGAACACCACAAUGACUUCAAAGUUUGGUACAAAGGAAGCAAACCUCUCGAGGGAAGACUUGGGAAAUUCUGUCAUUGAGAAAUAAACCCAACUUGCAGAAUGUGA